AGAGUUUGAUCAUGGCUCAGAUUGAACGCUGGCGGCAGGCCUAACACAUGCAAGUCGAGCGCGAAAGGUUUUCGGACUGAGUAAAGCGGCGGACGGGUGAGUAACGCGUGGGAAUCUGCCCAGUAGUGGGGGACAACAGCCGGAAACGGCUGCUAAUACCGCAUACGCCCUACGGGGGAAAGGGGGGGAUCUUCGGACCUCUCGCUAUUGGAUGAGCCCGCGUCGGAUUAGCUUGUUGGUGGGGUAAAGGCCUACCAAGGCGACGAUCCGUAACUGGUCUGAGAGGAUGAUCAGUCACACUGGAACUGAGACACGGUCCAGACUCCUACGGGAGGCAGCAGUGGGGAAUAUUGGACAAUGGGGGCAACCCUGAUCCAGCCAUGCCGCGUGUGUGAAGAAGGCCUUAGGGUUGUAAAGCACUUUCAGUGGGGAGAAAGGUGGUUUGGUUAAUAGCUGAAUCAAUUGAUGUUACCCACAGAAGAAGCACCGGCUAACUCCGUGCCAGCAGCCGCGGUAAUAC
rnacentral:rRNA from 1 species